UUUUCGCAAUGCCCGAAAGGGUGACGAAGCGACGCCGCGUGGAUGAAGAAGGCCUUCGGGUUGUAAAAUCCUGUCAGGAGUUAAGAAAUGUAGGUGCGAUAAUACCGUGCCUAUUUGACAAAGGCUCCAAAGGAAGCCACGGCUAACUCUGUGCCAGCAGCCGCGGUAAUACAGAGGUGGCAAGCGUUGUUCGGAAUUAUUGGGCGUAAAGAGCACGUAGGUGGAUUUGUUAGUCAGAUGUGAAAGCCUCUCGUUCAACGGAAGAAUUGCAUCUGAAACUACAAACCUUGAGUAUAGGAGGGGAGAGUGGAACUUCUGGCGGAGCGGUGAAAUGCGUAGAUAUCAGAAGGAACGCCGGCGGCGAAAGCGACUCUCUGGCCUAUAACUGACACUGAGUGUGCGAAAGCUAGGGGAGCAAACGGGAUUAGAUACCCCGGUAGUCCUAGCCGUAAACGAUGGGCACUAAGUAGAGGGGUU
rnacentral:rRNA from 1 species